rfam:Camelus ferus unplaced genomic scaffold scaffold70222, whole genome shotgun sequence.
CUUUACAAAGUAUCUGAGACAAACGAAAAAGGAAAACAAUUUUGUGCCUCACCCUACCACCAACCCAGAAGAAAAGGGGACUAGAGGGGAACAGAGCCUGGGGAGAGGAGUGACCUAAAAAGGAGGGGCCCUGGGUGAUAAGUCUGCAGGAA